UACAGAGGGUGCGAGCGUUAAUCGGAAUUACUGGGCGUAAAGCGCACGUAGGCGGCUUGGUAUGUCGGGUGUGAAAUCCCCGGGCUCAACCUGGGAACUGCAUCCGAAACUGCCUUGCUAGAGUAUGGGAGAGGGAAGUGGAAUUUCCGGUGUAGCGGUGAAAUGCGUAGAUAUCGGAAGGAACAUCAGUGGCGAAGGCGGCUCUCUGGUACGGCACUGACGCUGAGACGCGAAAGCGUGGGGAGCAAACAGG
rnacentral:rRNA from 1 species